rnacentral:rRNA from 1 species
GCGCACGCUGGCGGCAGGCCUAACCCCUGCCAGUCGAACGCACUCUUCGGAGUUAGUGGCGGACGGGUGAGUAACACGUGGGAACGUGCCUUUUGGUUCGGAAUAACUCAGGGAAACUUGUGCUAAUACCGAAUGUGCCCUUCGGGGGAAAGAUUUAUCGCCAUUAGAGCGGCCCGCGUCUGAUUAGCUAGUUGGUGAGGUAACGGCUCACCAAGGCGACGAUCAGUAGCUGGUCUGAGAGGAUGACCAGCCACACUGGGACUGAGACACGGCCCAGACUCCUACGGGAGGCAGCAGUGGGGAAUCUUGCGCAAUGGGCGAAAGCCUGACGCAGCCAUGCCGCGUGAAUGAUGAAGGUCUUAGGAUUGUAAAAUUCUUUCACCGGGGACGAUAAUGACGGUACCCGGAGAAGAAGCCCCGGCUAACUUCGUG